rnacentral:tRNA from 1 species
AUUAGCUCAACUGGAUAGAGCACUGGUCUUCGAAACCAUAGGUUAUGAGUUCAAAUCUUAUAUGGU